UACGGGGGGGGCAAGCGUUGUUCGGAAUUACUGGGCGUAAAGGGCUCGUAGGCGGCCAACUAAGUCAGACGUGAAAUCCCUCGGCUUAACCGGGGAACUGCGUCUGAUACUGGAAGGCUAGAGACUGGUAGAGGCGAGCGGAAUUCCUGGUGUAGCGGUGGAAUGCGCAGAUAUCAGGAGGAACACCAAUGGCGAAGGCAGCUCGCUGGGACGUGACUGACGCUGAGACGCGAAAGCGUGGGGAGCAAACAGG
rnacentral:rRNA from 1 species